CAAAGUUUCUACAAACUUCAGGCUUUGCUUCUCUUAGAUGAUCAACUUCCUUCAAUUAAAUAUGAUUGAUAUGUUGUUCGAUUUGUUACUUGUCUUGAUCUUGAAAAUUCUAUGUCUCAGUGAACAAAUCAAAUUCUCAUGUUAGAAUUCUCCAUCACAAACCAUAAAGAAGACUCCUUUCUGAUCUAAGGAAACCAGAACAGGUCUACUAUGGAAAAUGUAGGUAGAAAGAAAGAAAAAUCCAACAACAUGCAUUUGACUAGUUCAAGGUCAGACAUGCUCAGGCAUGUGCAAAGAAGUAGAAAUCCUGACGAUGAAAUUUUCAGGCAUGCUAAGAAGACUUUCGAGCCCAACUGCACAGUAUAUAUUGCCAUGCUGCUGCCACGAAAUAUCAUGAACAGUUCCGUAUACUAAGAACUCUUUCAAACAAGGAUCAGAAGAACUUACCAUGAAGUUGAACCUUGUUCGUGCCUGCCGCACCCUCCUGAUUGCAGUUGCCAUCCUCCUUUGUCAGUUCCACUCAUCUGAAGCUCACAGAGGAUUGUUAGUACAUGAAUUAAGAGCACCAUACCGAUCUCCACCGCCGCCACCAAUUCGGAGACCACCAAUCAUCCCGUACUACAGUUAUACCCGACGAUCAGUAAAUGAAGAAAGAGCACCAUACAAAUCUCCACCGCCACCACCUCUUCCGGCACAAACAAGUAGACCCUAAAAUUAAUGGAGCAACAGGAUGAAUCACAUUCAGCAAAGAACCUCCCAGAUUACAGGGUAAGAUAAAAUGGCAUGAUAUGAGGAGUCAAUCAUAUGCAGACGGGAAAGAAAAGAUCCAUCCAUUACCAACAAAUGCUACUAAAGAGAACUCUGCUUCUUUUCCUGAUAAAUUGUAAUCAGUUAACCAUGUUGCAAUAAAGUUAUACAUUCCUAAAACUUUUGAGAGGAUGAUUUUUAAAAUAUCAGAUAACAUAAUUUACCUAAUCCACAUUCAAUGAGGCUAGCUUUGUUGAUUAAGAAAUCAUGCAUCAAGGCCUUGAAUAUUUUAGGAUCUAUUGAUCCUGCAAGAUGAUUUCCAAGUCAGAGACACAACAGCAAAAAUUGGUCCAUACAUAAGAUACAGAGAGAUGAUUUCUAGUCAUAAGAUCAACUCAACUGUUGAGGAUGAAUGGCAUCAGUCCAUGGAACUCUCUGUAAGUGCCUGGACAUGAAAGAGUCAUGGUUUGCACAAACUCACGCACAAGAAAGAAGCAUGCAAGUUCAUCUCAAGAGAAAUGGGUACUCAAGGUUUUAGUGACCUAGCAAAAUUUGAUGACUAAAUGCCACCCUUGUUGUGCAACUAGUUACUGGAAACAAUAAAUUUCAAUAUAUUUGCGGUUCAACUGUUCAAAUGCACUGCAAUGCGGUUUACUAAAAUCCAAUAUGAAAACACAGUUUCUCGAUGUGAAAAAGUACCAGGGCAUUAAAACU